rnacentral:lncRNA from 1 species
ACAAGGAAAAAGGACAGAGGAAGAUAAAGAAGAAGGUCACCAUGAGUCAGGAUGGACCAUGAGCACAUGGCCAAGAGAAGCUCACUCUGAGGACGAACAUGGAGGAGAGCAAGCUGGGAGAGACUCAAAAUAUACAGCGUGGCUGCAUCAUUUUUCAAUUAAGCAAAUGGUUUUGGAGAGCUGGGAGUGUGGUCGGAUGUUAGUUCACUUGCCUAGCGCGUGCAAGACCCUGGAUUGAAGCUUCGUCACCACAACAAACAAACAAACAAACAAACAAACAAACACUAGGAUAAUUUUAAAUGGAUACAUUUUGCUAAGGCAAAGCUGGAUAACCGGAAGCAGAAGAAGAUGCCGCAGGUGAGAAACAGCGGACCCUCUGAGGAUCAGGAGGAAGCAACGGCCCCAGCUUUUCCAGUUUGACUGUGAUUGCCCAUUUUUGUGAACGCCGUCUCACAUUAAUGCUGCACUUUGUCCAGCUUUCUAAAAGCCACACAUUGGCAGGAAGUAUAAAACAUGCUUUGGACCAAAAACUGAAAGUAGUUGUCCUCCUGUAACUACAGAAAUGCUGAGACCAUAAGGUGACUGCAAGCAGAUGUCUCUGCAGAAGUAUAAAACCCACC